CGGUUAACGGAGCGAAAGCGACGUUCAACCUCAAAAGAAGCAGAGGGGGCUUAGUGGUGGGGUGACUGCGUACCUUUUGUAUAAUGGGUCAGCGACUUAUAUUCUGUAGCAAGGUUAACCGAAUAGGGGAGCCGGAGGGAAACCGAGUCUUAAUUGGGCGUUAAGUUGCAGGGUAUAGACCCGAAACCCGGUGAUCUAGCCAUGGGCAGGUUGAAGGUUGGGUAACACUAACUGGAGGACCGAACCGACUAAUGUUGAAAAAUUAGCGGAUGACCUGUGGCUGGGGGUGAAAGGCCAAUCAAACCGGGAGAUAGCUGGUUCUCCCCGAAAGCUAUUUAGGUAGCGCCUCGUGAAUUCAUCUCCGGGGGUAGAGCACUGUUUCGGCUAGGGGGCCAUCCCGGCUUACCAACCCGAUGCAAACUGCGAAUACCGGAGAAUGUUAUCACGGGAGACACACGGCGGGUGCUAACGUCCGUCGUGAAGAGGGAAACAACCCAGACCGCCAGCUAAGGUCCCAAAGUCAUGGUUAAGUGGGAAACGAUGUGGGAAGGCCCAGACAGCCAGGAUGUUGGCUUAGAAGCAGCCAUCAUUUAAAGAAAGCGUAAUAGCUCACUGGUCGAGUCGGCCUGCGCGGAAGAUGUAACGGGGCUAAACCAU
rnacentral:rRNA from 1 species